rnacentral:tRNA from 1 species
UUUAUGGGGGUAAACCCCCCUUUCCA